UGACCCCACCGGCAGUGGCACCGGUGGUGAAAGUAUAUAUGGAAGUGUUUUUCCUGAUGAGUUCCAUUCACGUCUAAGAUUCAACCACAGGGGGAUUGUUGCGUGUGCAAAUGCUGGUACACCACAUUCUAAUGGGAGUCAAUUCUUUAUUUCCUUGGAUAAGUGUGAUUGGCUUGAUCGAAAGAGUACCAUUUUUGGAAAGGUGACUGGAGAUUCAAUAUAUAAUCUUUUAGCCAUUGGUGAGGUUGAAACUGAUAAAAAUGAUUGGCCAUUAGAUCCAUCCCCAAAAAUCAAAUCAGUUGAGGUAUUAUGGAACCCUUUUGAAGAUAUUGUCCCUAGGGCGCCCUCCAAGCCUUUAACACAAUCUGCAACUGAUAUCGAAAAUAAAGAUUCAAAGAAGAAACCCGUGAAAAAGUUGAACUUACUUUCGUUUGGAGAGGAGGCUGAAGAAGAGGAGAAGGAAUUAGCAGCUGUAAAACAAAAAAUCAGGAGUAGUCAUGAUGUAUUGGAUGAUCCUCGUCUCCUGAAGGGACAACAUCCAAGUGAAGAAUUGAAUUCAUCUGAAGCCAAAGCAACAAGGGAUCUGCAGUUAUCUGUAAGAGAAGCAUUAAGCUCAAAGAAGGAUGUAUCACAGAAAGAUUUAGAUGCCGAAUUUUCUAAUAGUGAUGAUGAUGAUGAUGAGGUCAACUUUGAUGCACGAAUGCGCCAACAAAUACUUAGAAAAAGAAUGGACCUGGGAGGUCUCUCAUCUAAGCAAAAGAAAAAUGGGAGCACUAGCCCAAAAGAUCAUCAAAUUUCUGUGCCCAGGUCUACUGCUGAAAGCAUUGAUGAUGACCACCCAAGGGUGGAAAAGCUGUCACUGAAGAAAAAGGGAAUAGGAUCUGAAGCCAGAGCUGAACGCAUGGCUAAGGCAGAUGUAGAUUUACAGUUAUUCAGUGAAGCUGAACAAGGAAGACUAUUGCAAAAACAGAAGAAGCGCAGAAUUCAAGGACGUGAGGAUGAGGUUUUAGCAAAACUUGAGAAGUUUAAGAAGGCUGUUUCUGCAAAGGCUGAUACCUCAAACAGUGAGACCGGAGGUGCUUAUAAAGAGGAUUUGUCUGACUGGAGUUCUGUCCGCCUAAAGUUUGCACCUGAACCUGGCAAGGAUCGUAUGACUCGCAAAGAUGACCCAAAUGACUAUGUUGUGCAUGACCCCCUUUUGGAGAAAGGGA
rnacentral:misc_RNA from 1 species